rnacentral:rRNA from 1 species
CAAAAACAUGUCUUUUUGAUUAUAAUUUAAAGUCUAACCUGCCCAAUGAGGAGUUAAAUGGCCGCGGUAUAUUGACCGUGCAAAGGUAGCAUAAUCAUUAGUUUUUUAAUUGAAAGCUGGUAUGAAUGGUUGGACGAGAAAAUAACUGUCUCAAUUUAAAUUGAAUUAGAAUUUUAUUUAUGAGUAAAAAAGCUCAUAUAAGUUUAAAAGACGAGAAGACCCUAUAGAAUUUAAUAUAUGUAUAUAUAUAUUAUUUUUAGAAUUACUAAUAAGGUAUAUGUAAUUAUAUUUUGUUGGGGUGAUAGAAAAAUUAAAAUAACUUUUUUUAUAUAAAAACAUUAAUGUAUGAGAAAAUGAUCCGUUAAUUACGAUUAUAAGAUUAAAUUACCUUAGGGAUAACAGCGUAAUUUUUUUUUAGAGUUCUUAUCGAAAAAAGAGUUUGCGACCUCGAUGUUGGAUUAAAAUUAACUUUUGGUGUAGGGGCU